rnacentral:rRNA from 1 species
AUGCAGUGGCGGACGGGUGAGUAACGCGUAGGUAUCUAUCUUUGGGUGGGGACAACCGUGGGAAACUACGGCUAAUACCGCAUGACGCCUGAGGGCCAAAGGUCGCAAGACUGCCUGGGGAGGAGCCUGCGUACGAUUAGCUAGUUGGUGGGGUAAAGGCCUACCAAGGCGACGAUCGUUAGCUGGUCUGAGAGGACGACCAGCCACACUGGGACUGAGACACGGCCCAG